rnacentral:ribozyme from 1 species
UACAUAUACAUAUACAAAUUCAAAUUCAAAUAUAUUCAUACAUUCAUACAUAUACAUACUCGAUUACACCUGUUUGGUCUUUUGCUUUACCUUUUUCCUUUCUUUUUUUUCUUUCCUUUUUGUUUCUC